rnacentral:rRNA from 1 species
GUGAGGAAUAUUGCGCAAUGGAGGCAACUCUGACGCAGCCAUGCCGCGUGCAGGAAGAAGGCGCUACGCGUUGUAAACUGCUUUUAACCGGGAAGAAACCCCAGGACGUGUCCUGGGUUGACGGUACCGGAGGAAUAAGCACCGGCUAACUUCGUGCCAGCAGCCGCGGUAAUACGAAGGGUGCAAGCGUUAUCCGGAUUCAUUGGGUUUAAAGGGUGCGUAGGCGGAGCGUUAAGUCAGUGGUGAAAUCCUGCAGCUUAACUGUAGACGUGCCAUUGAUACUGGCGCUCUUGAGUGCGCUUGAAGUGGGCGGAAUGUGCCGUGUAGCGGUGAAAUGCUUAGAUAUGGCACAGAACACCAAUUGCGAAGGCAGCUCACUAAGGCGAUACUGACGCUGAGGCACGAAAGCGUGGGGAUCGAACAGGAUUAGAUACCCUGGUAGUCC